AAUAGAUACCCUGGUAGUCCACGCCCUAAACGAUGCGAACUGGAUGUUGGGUACAUUACGGUACUCAGUGUCGAAGCUAACGCGUUAAGUUCGCCGCCUGGGGAGUACGGUCGCAAGACUGAAACUCAAAGGAAUUGACGGGGGCCCGCACAAGCGGUGGAGUAUGUGGUUUAAUUCGAUGCAACGCGAAGAACCUUACCUGGCCUUGACAUCUGUCGAAUCCUGCAGAGAUGCGGGAGUGCCGCAAGGAACGACAAGACAGGUGCUGCAUGGCUGUCGUCAGCUCGUGUCGUGAGAUGUUGGGUUAAGUCCCGCAACGAGCGCAACCCUUGUCCCUAGUUGCCAGCACGUAAUGGUGGGAACUCUAGGGAGACUGCCGGUGACAAACCGGAGGAAGGUGGGGAUGACGUCAAGUCCUCAUGGCCCUUACGGCCAGGGCUACACACGUACUACAAUGGUCGGUACAGAGGGUUGCGAAGCCGCGAGGUGGAGCCAAUCCCAGAAAACCGAUCCCAGUCCGGAUCGGAGUCUGCAACUCG
rnacentral:rRNA from 1 species